UACGGAGGGUGCAAGCGUUGUUCGGAUUUAUUGGGCUUAAAGGGCGCGUAGGCGGCUGUUUAAGUCAGUGGUGAAAGACUCCGGCUCAACCGGAGCAGUGCCAUUGAUACUGGAUAGCUAGAGUAUUGGAGGGGUACAUGGAAUUGAUGGUGUAGCGGUGAAAUGCAUAGAUACCAGCAGGAACACCGAUAGCGAAGGCAGUGUACUGGCCAAUAACUGACGCUGAUGCGCGAAAGCAUGGGUAGCGAACAGG
rnacentral:rRNA from 1 species